rnacentral:rRNA from 1 species
UACAGAGGGUGCAAGCGUUAAUCGGAAUUACUGGGCGUAAAGCGUGCGUAGACGGUUACAUAAGUCGGGUGUGAAAGCCCCGGGCUCAACCUGGGAAUUGCAUUCGAGACUGCAUAGCUAGGGUGCGGAAGAGGGAAGCGGAAUUUCCGGUGUAGCGGUGAAAUGCGUAGAUAUCGGAAGGAACACCAGUGGCGAAAGCGGCUUCCUGGUCCAGCACCGACGUUCAGGCACGAAAGCGUGGGGAGCAAACAGG